CAGAGAGAGAGAGAGAGAGAAAGAUGGAGCGCCGACUGCUUUCCGGUGAGCCCUCCGUCAAACCCAAUUAGCCUCCGCGGCAGCAACACCACGACCACAUGAUGCUUCCUUCAAAAGAGAUAAAGAGAGAAACAUAGAGUGUGGUAUAAGAGAGAGAUAGAGACGGUGACUUUGACAGUUCGGCUUAGGGUUCCGACGAACUCCUUUUGAUGGUAAAUCUGUGCAUAUGUAAGCUGGAGAAGUUGGAGGGUGAAUCCAGUGAUGGCAGAUUAGAAGAAGAGGAGAAGUCAGGAGCAACUUCUGCCUUCCAUCAACAAAAAACGGAAAUUGCCGUCCUGCACACCAGUUGUUUGACUUAAUGCUCAGUUGAGGUUGCUAAAUCCAAGGCAUUCUCAAUAAAAGUUUGGUUCCUUGAUUCGUGUGUCAAGAUAACUCCAGCAAGAAUCGAGCAUAUACAAAUGCCCAGCCUGUACCAACAAGCGAGCGCGCCCUUGAUUGAAUUGUAAGACCGGUAAGCCAAGGAAGAAUGUUUUUAUGUCAUUUCAUUCAACUAAUUGUAGUCGUCAUGGGACAAAAAAAAUCGUAUUUCUAGGGUUUAAAUGUGCAUUCUUUGUUAUAAUGGAAGUUUGCAUUCUAUCAGUUUGUUAAAUAACUUAAA